rnacentral:rRNA from 1 species
UACGAAGGGGGCUAGCGUUGCUCGGAAUCACUGGGCGUAAAGCGCACGUAGGCGGAUUGCUAAGUCAGGGGUGAAAUCCCGGAGCUCAACUCCGGAACUGCCUUUGAUACUGGGUGUCUUGAGUGUGGAAGAGGUGAGUGGAAUUCCGAGUGUAGAGGUGAAAUUCGUAGAUAUUCGGAGGAACACCAGUGGGCGAAGGCGGCUCACUGGUCCAUUACUGACGCUGAGGUGACGAAAGCGUGGGGAGCAAACAGG